ensembl:snRNA U2 U2 spliceosomal RNA
AUCGCUUCUCAGUCUUUUGGCUAAGAUCAAGUGUUGCAUCUGUUCUUAAAAGAAAUAAAUAAGGGAGGUAAAUGGGAGGAACCAAUUACAGAAUUAUUAAAUUCUCAAGUUUUAUUUAGUUUUUGGGCCACCCAGAGGUUCUUGUGAUUUUCUCCUGGCUCUGCACUUCUAGAGGGGCUCAGGCAGGGAUAGGGCAC